UCCCUGGCAGUCCAGUGGUUAGGACUCUGCACUUCCAUUGCAGGGGCACAGGUUCGAUCCCUCGUUAGGGAA
rnacentral:tRNA from 1 species